rnacentral:RNase_P_RNA from 1 species
UGAGACCUCUUGAUGGCCGCGGCCGUGAUCUUCAUUGGGAUCGGCUGAGGAACUUCCGGGCUCCAUAGAGCACGAUGGCGGAUAACGUCCGCCCAGCCACCGGGCCUCUGGUAACAGCAGGCCGCAUGGCAAGCCUCAUCGGGAGCAAGGCCAAGCAGAUGGCGGUAAGGGCUGCUCGCCCAUGUCAUCGGGUAGGCUGCUAGAGCCUGACGGCAACGUCAGGUCGAGAUGGAUGGCCAUCCGUGCCGCGCGUUCGCGUACGGCAUGACAGAACCCGGGGUAUAAGAGGUCUCAUUUA